GUGUGAGCUCGAUGAGUAGGGCGGGACACGUGGUAUCCUGUCUGAAUAUGGGGGGACCAUCCUCCAAGGCUAAAUACUCCUGACUGACCGAUAGUGAACCAGUACCGUGAGGGAAAGGCGAAAAGAACCCCGGCGAGGGGAGUGAAAAAGAACCUGAAACCGUGUACGUACAAGCAGUGGGAGCACAGGUUUACCUGUGUGACUGCGUACCUUUUGUAUAAUGGGUCAGCGACUUAUAUUCUGUAGCAAGGUUAACCGUAUAGGGGAGCCGGAGGGAAACCGAGUCUUAAUUGGGCGUUAAGUUGCAGGGUAUAGACCCGAAACCCGGUGAUCUAGCCAUGGGCAGGUUGAAGGUUGGGUAACACUAACUGGAGGACCGAACCGACUAAUGUUGAAAAAUUAGCGGAUGACCUGUGGCUGGGGGUGAAAGGCCAAUCAAACCGGGAGAUAGCUGGUUCUCCCCGAAAGCUAUUUAGGUAGCGCCUCGUGAAUUCAUCUCCGGGGGUAGAGCACUGUUUCGGCUAGGGGGCCAUCCCGGCUUACCAACCCGAUGCAAACUGCGAAUACCGGAGAAUGUUAUCACGGGAGACACACGGCGGGUGCUAACGUCCGUCGUGAAGAGGGAAACAACCCAGACCGCCAGCUAAGGUCCCAAAGUCAUGGUUAAGUGGGAAACGAUGUGGGAAGGCCCAGACAGCCAGGAUGUUGGCUUAGAAGCAGCCAUCAUUUAAAGAAAGCGUAAUAGCUCACUGGUCGAGUCGGCCUGCGCGGAAGAUGUAACGGGGCUAAACCAUGCACCGAAGCUGCGGCAGCGANNUGCUGGAGGUAUCAGAAGUGCGAAUGCUGACAUAAGUAACGAUAAAGCGGGUGAAAAGCCCGCUCGCCGGAAGACCAAGGGUUCCUGUCCAACGUUAAUCGGGGCAGGGUGAGUCGACCCCUAAGGCGAGGCCGAAAGGCGUAGUCGAUGGGAAACGGGUUAAUAUUCCCGUACUUGGUGUUACUGCGAAGGGGGGACGGAGAAGGCUAUGUUGGCCGGGCGACGGUUGUCCCGGUUUAAGCGUGUAGGUGUGUGUUCCAGGUAAAUCCGGUUCACUUUAACACUGAGGCGUGACGACGAGGCACUACGGUGCUGAAGCAACAAAUGCCCUGCUUCCAGGAAAAGCCUCUAAGCAUCAGGUAACAUCAAAUCGUACCCCAAACCGACACAGGUGGUCAGGUAGAGAAUACCAAGGCGCUUGAGAGAACUCGGGUGAAGGAACUAGGCAAAAUGGUGCCGUAACUUCGGGAGAAGGCACGCUGACACGUAGGUGAAGUGAUUUACUCAUGGAGCUGAAGUCAGUCGAAGAUACCAGCUGGCUGCAACUGUUUAUUAAAAACACAGCACUGUGCAAACACGAAAGUGGACGUAUACGGUGUGACGCCUGCCCGGUGCCGGAAGGUUAAUUGAUGGGGUCAGCGCAAGCGAAGCUCCUGAUCGAAGCCCCGGUAAACGGCGGCCGUAACUAUAACGGUCCUAAGGUAGCGAAAUUCCUUGUCGGGUAAGUUCCGACCUGCACGAAUGGCGUAAUGAUGGCCAGGCUGUCUCCACCCGAGACUCAGUGAAAUUGAACUCGCUGUGAAGAUGCAGUGUACCCGCGGCAAGACGGAAAGACCCCGUGAACCUUUACUAUAGCUUGACACUGAACAUUGAGCCUUGAUGUGUAGGAUAGGUGGGAGGCUUUGAAGUGUGGACGCCAGUCUGCAUGGAGCCGACCUUGAAAUACCACCCUUUAAUGUUUGAUGUUCUAACGUGGACCCGUAAUCCGGGUUGCGGACAGUGUCUGGUGGGUAGUUUGACUGGGGCGGUCUCCUCCUAAAGAGUAACGGAGGAGCACGAAGGUUGGCUAAUCCUGGUCGGACAUCAGGAGGUUAGUGCAAUGGCAUAAGCCAGCUUGACUGCGAGCGUGACGGCGCGAGCAGGUGCGAAAGCAGGUCAUAGUGAUCCGGUGGUUCUGAAUGGAAGGGCCAUCGCUCAACGGAUAAAAGGUACUCCGGGGAUAACAGGCUGAUACCGCCCAAGAGUUCAUAUCGACGGCGGUGUUUGGCACCUCGAUGUCGGCUCAUCACAUCCUGGGGCUGAAGUAGGUCCCAAGGGUAUGGCUGUUCGCCAUUUAAAGUGGUACGCGAGCUGGGUUUAGAACGUCGUGAGACAGUUCGGUCCCUAUCUGCCGUGGGCGCUGGAGAACUGAGGGGGGCUGCUCCUAGUACGAGAGGACCGGAGUGGACGCAUCACUGGUGUUCGGGUUGUCAUGCCAAUGGCACUGCCCGGUAGCUAAAUGCGGAAGAGAUAAGUGCUGAAAGCAUCUAAGCACGAAACUUGCCCCGAGAUGAGUUCUCCCUGAGACUUAGAGUCUCCUGAAGGAACGUUGAAGACGACGACGUUGAUAGGCCGGGUGUGUAUGCG
rnacentral:rRNA from 1 species